rnacentral:rRNA from 1 species
CAGCAGCAGCCGCGGGAAUACGUAGGGUGCGAGCGUUAAUCGGAAUUACUGGGCGUAAAGCGUGCGCAGGCGGUUCGUUAAGACAGAUGUGAAAUCCCCGGGCUUAACCUGGGAACUGCAUUUGUGACUGACGGGCUAGAGUAUGGCAGAGGGGGGUAGAAUUCCACGUGUAGCAGUGAAAUGCGUAGAGAUGUGGAGGAAUACCGAUGGCGAAGGCAGCCCCCUGGGCCAAUACUGACGCUCAUGCACGAAAGCGUGGGGAGCAAACAGGAUUAGAUACCCCAGUAGUCCCUGUCUCUUAUAU